AGCUUUGUGCAGUGGCAGUAUCAUAGCCAAUGAGGUUUAUCCAAGGCGCGAUUAUUGCUAAUUGAAAACUAAAGUGAAUAGGUUGUUUUAGGACUACCUUUAGGUAUUGUGACUAUUGUUAUUUACCCCUAAG
rnacentral:snRNA from 1 species